GCCCUUAGAGUUUGAUCCUGGCUCAGGACGAACGCUGGCGGCGUGCCUAACACAUGCAAGUCGAGCGAAGUGACUUGGAGCGAAGUUUUCGGACGGAGCGAAGAGUCAUCUUAGCGGCGGACGGGUGAGUAACGCGUGAGAAACCUGCCUUUCACAAAGGGAUAGCCUCGGGAAACUGGGAUUAAUACCUUAUGACACUUUAACCUCGCAUGAGGAAUAAGUUAAAGCGUAAAGCGGUGAAAGAUGGUCUCGCGUCCUAUUAGCUAGUUGGUGAGGUAACGGCUCACCAAGGCUGCGAUAGGUAGCCGGCCUGAGAGGGUGAACGGCCACACUGGAACUGAGACACGGUCCAGACUCCUACGGGAGGCAGCAGUGGGGAAUAUUGCACAAUGGAGGGAACUCUGAUGCAGCGACGCCGCGUGAAUGAUGAAGGCCUUCGGGUUGUAAAGUUCUGUCCUUGGGGAAGAUAAUGACGGUACCCGAGGAGGAAGCCCCGGCUAAUCACU
rnacentral:rRNA from 1 species